rnacentral:rRNA from 1 species
GACAGAGGGGGCAAGCGUUGCUCGGAAUCACUGGGCGUAAAGCGCACGUAGGCGGACUCUUAAGUCGGUGGUGAAAUCCUGGAGCUCAACUCCAGAACUGCCUUCGAUACUGAGAGUCUCGAGUCCGGGAGAGGUGAGUGGAACUGCGAGUGUAGAGGUGAAAUUCGUAGAUAUUCGCAAGAACACCAGUGGCGAAGGCGGCUCACUGGCCCGGUACUGACGCUGAGGUGCGAAAGCGUGGGGAGCAAACAGG